rnacentral:rRNA from 1 species
GGAUCCAGACUUUGAUUCUGGCUCAGGAUGAACGCUAGCUACAGGCCUAACACAUGCAAGUCGAGGGGAAACGGCAGCUUAGCUUGCUAAGCUGGACGUCGACCGGCGCACGGGUGAGUAACGCGUAUCCAACCUGCCCCACGGUGAGGGAUAACCCGCGGAAACGCGGCCUAAUACCUCAUGGUCUCCGAGCUUGACAUCAACCUUGGAGUAAAGAUUCAUUGCCGUGGGAUGGGGAUGCGUCUGAUUAGCUUGUUGGCGGGGCAACGGCCCACCAAGGCAACGAUCAGUAGGGGUUCUGAGAGGAAAGCCCCCCACAUUGGAACUGAGACACGGUCCAAACUCCUACGGGAGGCAGCAGUGAGGAAUAUUGGUCAAUGGGCGAGAGCCUGAACCAGCCAAGUAGCGUGCAGGAAGACGGCCCUAUGGGUUGUAAACUGCUUUUAUGCGGGGAUAAAGGGGGCGACGUGUCGCCCUUUGCAGGUACCGCAUGAAUAAGGACCGGCUAAUUCCGUGCCAGCAGCCGCGGUAAUACGGAAGGUCCGGGCGUUAUCCGGAUUUAUUGGGUUUAAAGGGAGCGCAGGCCGGGUAUUAAGCGUGUUGUGAAAUGUAGGCGCCCAACGUCUGCACCGCAGCGCGAACUGGUGCCCUUGAGUACGCACGACGUUGGCGGAAUUCGCCGUGUAGCGGUGAAAUGCUUAGAUAUGGCGAAGAACUCCGAUUGCGAAGGCAGCUGACGGGAGCGCUACUGACGCUCAUGCUCGAAAGCGCGGGUAUCGAACAGGAUUAGAUACCCUGGUAGUCCGCGCGGUAAACGAUGGAUGCCCGCUAUUUGCGCAUUAGCGCAAGUGGCCAAGUGAAAACGUUAAGCAUCCCACCUGGGGAGUACGCCGGCAACGGUGCAACUCAAAGGAAUUGACGG